rnacentral:rRNA from 1 species
GACGAACGCUGGCGGCGUGCUUAACACAUGCAAGUCGAACGGAAAGGCCCUGCUUUUGUGGGGUGCUCGAGUGGCGAACGGGUGAGUAACACGUGAGUAACCUGCCCUUGACUUUGGGAUAACUUCAGGAAACUGGGGCUAAUACCGGAUAGGAGCUCCUGCUGCAUGGUGGGGGUUGGAAAGUUACGGCGGUUGGGGAUGGACUCGCGGCUUAUCAGCUUGUUGGUGGGGUAGUGGCUUACCAAGGCUUUGACGGGUAGCCGGCCUGAGAGGGUGACCGGCCACAGUGGGACUGAGAUACGGCCCAGACUCAUACGGGAGGCAGCAGUGGGGAAUAUUGCACAAUGGGCGGAGGCCUGAUGCAGCAACGCCGCGUGCGGGAUGACGGCCUUCGGGUUGUAACCGCUUUCGCCUGUGACGAAGCGUGAGUGACGGUAAUGGGUAAAGAAGCACCGGCUAACUACGUG